AAAAAAAAAAAAAAAAAUUCAAAGAAAAAUACAUAUCAUCAUCCAUCAAGCAUAUCAGCAUCCCUAGAACAGGAAGCACAUGAUAACAGCCAACGUGGAAACCGAAAUACCAGCCAAGAGCUUAGAAGAUGAAGAUCCUGGUGGAGGAGGACGGGCGUUGGGGCCCAAUGCCCCGGGAGUUGAAGGGCUUGUGGGGGCACCUGCUGGGGCAUCUGGUGGGCAAAUGGCGGGGGUGUUUGUGGGUGAAGGAGUGGUUGGCGGUGGGGACAGUCUUGGGGUAGUGGAGGGCGGUGGUGAGGCGCCUGGCGUGCCUCCUGAUGAUGAGACAGUGAUGGCUAGUUUCUGGCCUAGCUGACAAUGCUGAGAAAAUGUACAGAUGUAGUAGUGGUCGCCAGCAGAGUCCAGGGUGAAGUUGACCGGGCCGGUGGUAAUUACGUCUCCGAUAGGAUUUGAAGUAGAGCAUGCAUCGAAGGAUGUCUUCUGGACUCGGAGUACAUCGUGCUUGUUGGUUUCGAAGUUGAAUGUUAGGAUAUCUCCAACUGCGAAAUUCUUGCCAUUAGCCCAUUCUGUGUAAGCUUGAGCGCCACCUUGUAGAAUAGUCCAACCUGAGUUAUCCCCCACCACAUGCACCGUCUGUGCCGCCGCACAUUGCAACAAAACCACCACUACAAACCCAAAAGCCACGCCAAUAAACCUUGCCAUUUUCUUUAUAUUUUUUCCUCUCUUUAAAUAUCCUUCUCUUAGUUAAUUUCUGGUAUAUGAAGCAGCUACUUGA
rnacentral:misc_RNA from 1 species